CAAAGGGGGUUUGUUGAUGUGCCCGGGUUGUACUGAACCGGACACAUUACUUUCUAGCUGAACACACAGCCUGAUCCGCUUCUGGACAGCUGAGCCUCUGGAAAUGUACACCUGAAGAAAUUUACAGGACCUCUUGGAGGUGGCACAUUUCUUCAUGACUUCGCCUCACCUGAAUGUUCUUCUCCCCAGCCACACCUUGGUCUGUCUGCCUGCGGUGGGGGUCACACUGUGGCCACAUCCUGCCGGCUCCUGCCUCUCAAGAGCCAACUGAGGUGCUGUCUCGUCUCCAAUCCCUUUCCCUUCUGUCUUUGCCACACGAUCCUCUGACUCUCUUUUAAACACUCCUUAACAUUUAUCUACUCCCGGAAGCAUGCCUGUCACCAACUAGAGCCUAGCAGUAGCCACUUGACAAACCCAUAGCGACCGCAAGGCUUUGUGAUACUCUGCAGUCAUGACUAGAUGAUGUCUUUGUCUCAUUCACAAAGUGUUUCGCUGCUUUCUUUGGGUAUAAGAAAGUUGUGGAGUAUGCGUGUCCUGUUACCUUCCUUACUGCGAUGAUGAUGAUCAUGACGAUGAUGACGGUGAGGACGACGAUGAAAUGCCAGCCAUGAUUUUGGUGACGAUACGAUUGUGCACGAAGAGGGGAAGGAGUAAGAGUUGGCAUUCUGGACUCCGUCACUUCACUGUUAUUGGCUCUGGUCCACUUGACCUCCCUGAGCUACUUCUUCAUCUCUGAAAUGGAAUGGAGCGUUAUCUGUGUCUUAUCUUUUUGCAAAGCUGUGGCCACUGAGUACUGCUAGGACAAAUAACACCAAUGAGGACUGAUCAUUUUACAGGUGAAUCAUUUGUAAAGUACCCUUGCUCCUCUACUGUCACCCAGCAAUCUCUCUCAUCCUCCAGUCAGGAAGGAGAUGGAAAUUAUUAUCAAGCAGGGACCUUAGCUGAAACAGAAUAUGACUCUGGCGUUUCCUAAGCAGAGGAGACUUUACUGAAAGGAUAUUGAGGCCCAAAGAAUUGAAGGGAGGCGGAGAACCAGCUUGCAUGUGGCCACACCCCAGGCAGCUCCGGAAGCUGAGGCAGGACCCGCAUUUUGGCUGCUGGGGUGGAUGGCCGUCAAGAAUUCCGGUUGCCUCACUGCUUCGAGAGGAAAAGUCCCUGGAGUGAGCACUCCAUCUUAUGUCAGGGAGAAAAUGGCUUCCUUGGGGAGAGUCACCAGGAGUUAUCCUGCCACCAAGGCCACACUCAGUGAGUGAGAGGUGAAAAUGAUAGCAGCUAACUCUUUUAUAUAAACUCAUUUAAUCCUCACCUCCCACCAUUCCUGAUGCCAUCUCUUUCUAGUCACACGGCACUGUUAGUCUACUGGGGCCACCAUAACAAAACACCACAGACUGGGUAGCUUAAACAACAGGAAGAUAUUUCUCACAGGCUAGAAGUCCCUGACUAGAUAACUCACAUUUUGUUCUUCAAAAUUCAAUUUAAAUUUUACUUUCUCUGUAAAAACUUCCUUGUUCCUCUGAUUUUAUUUAGAUGCCAUUUCUCUGUUCUUCCACAGUGCCUUCUCAAAUAGCUUUGUACCUUCCAAUUUCUGAGCGUGUAAAUCCAGAGUUCCUUUCAUGUCCCCCCCAAAAAUACAUGAGGUGCCUCAGUAAGGAGGUCCAAAAAUCAAAGGCUUUUAUAACCAGUACCUGACAACAAACACUAAGAAUUGUGCAUGAGGUUUCCAAGUAGGGUUGCAUUCGUUAUAAACACACUGCUUGGUAAUUAAUUGUUUAUGUCUCUGUCUCUAACUCAAGAAAAAAUUCCUCAGGGCAGAGAUUGUGUGUUAGUUUUUUAACGCGACCCUGGAAAAAAGAAGGCAGUCAAUACAUUUUGGUUGGUUGAAUGAAUAAAUGAAUGAGUGAGGAGUUGACCAAAGUGGUUUCACAUGUGUCUUGUUUUGUAUGUUUAUGAGAUAAGCAUUCGAUCUGAAUUAUGGAGAGUUUGAGUGACCCGGAAGGUCAGAAGUUGACUGGACCAGAUUUGUCAUAUAUUAUAGAAGUACAUUUCCUAUGUAUCAUGGGGGUGUUGGCUUUUUAAGAACG